CACUCGCCAGCAGAAACCAGUUCUACAUGUAUUAAGAAAUAUGAACAGAGUUUGUAACAUCAGCUUUUGCUAAAAGCCUUUCAGGUAUUUAUCAUGCUGAACAAGAAAUAUUUGACAAUCCGUAUAAUUUCAGGAAAAAAAAAGUUUUUAAAGUUGCGAGAACCUGUUUCUAAUCCGGUUGAUUUCACGAAUAUAACAUGUUCGUUUUGAAUUCUUUGUAGAUACUACUACAUAUUUAGCUGUUGGGUUGGCUUCUGGUUUUGGACUCCUUGUUAUUUUGAUAGUCUUCGGUGUUACUCGUUUGAAAAGGGGAAAGAGAAGAUCAUGUAAGGCAGCGGCCAUAGCAGCCAGUGUAGUGGGCAUUGUGCUCUUUGUCACUGUCAUCGUGUGCAUCCUUAUGCUGCGCAAAAGUUUCUGAUCACAGAGCCCGGGGCCUAAUGCAGCUACAAAUGGAGGAAACCAGGAGACAGCCCCACUGGUAAUGAUAAAAAAUGAAGUCACCAAUCACAGUGAAACUCGGGUGUAACCUCGGAAGUUGUUUGUGAACUUGAUAUACUCAGCAAAAAACCAACAAAGCAGCAAGGAUUGUGUAUUGUGUACAGCAUGUUAUGUGUUGGUGUCCAUCAUUUCUGUGACGGUGACAGCCCGUCAGACUGAUACUCAGCUCUGAUCAGGUCCGUCUUUCUGACACCGCAUUUAUUCAAACAAGUUGUGAACAAGUUGAACUUUGUGCAAUUGUUGUGACAUUUCAUGGAGCUUUAGUUUUAUGUGAGUGAGAGAACAACUUUAUUGUAUACUUUACAUUCUACCAUAGAAUGCAUUUUGAUGUUCUUUGCAAAUAUUGUAGAUGGCAUAUUAUUUAUUAUAACAUAUUCUCAUACCUUUGAAAUCCAGUAACCUGGGCUUGCAGCCAAAACAUCGCACAUUCCUUCAUCUUGAAUCCAAUCAAAAUACAAACAUGUACAUUUAACGUUUUUAUUCUUGAAAGAAGAGAUGAAAAUGUGGAGGAUUUAAGCAAUAAUAAGUUGCUUUAAAAACAGCGGUACCAGGCAUCAAACCUACUUAUGAUUAACAUGUCACAUAUAUAUUUUUGUGAUUGUUAUAGUAUAUGAUUCUAUAGAGAUUGAAUCACUGACAUAAGCUGCUACACAGAGUUUAAACACUAAGGUCCUUAAUCACCGUUAUAUAAUACAUGUAUAUGAUAUCUUUGGCCACUGGAUAACAUAAAUCCAUUAAUAUCUCCACAAUUUUUUUUUUAUCAAGAAUAUGUUGUUUUUAUUUUUAAUGGUUGUUUGAGAGAGAGAGAGAGAGAGAGAGAGAGAGAGAGAGAGAGGGAGAGAGAGAGAGAGAGAGGGUAUUUGUAGAAGCUGACUUAAAACAUAUAUAUAUUGUUACAUUUAAAUUUGCUUUCUUGCAUUCCUGCAUACAUGACAGCAGAUUUGGAUAAAAUAUCAUCCACAUAGCAGCCUUUACAUAUUCAGUCAUACAAUGCAAAUAUUAAUAACAUGUGCUUCAUUCAAAAAUAUUGUUUUCAAAAAUUAUUUUUAGUAAUGCACUCUUUGAUUGACUUGAAAAAUCAUUUAUUUAUAAAAAAAAAAAAAUGUUUAAAUUAUAAAAAAGAAAACAAGUAUCUAAUAAAUUGGCAUAAUUUUUGCUUUAUUAUAUUAACAACAUUACUGUUAUAUUGUACAACGUACCCCAACCCAGUUUCUUUGAUUAGGCUUGCUACUGAAUUUACUUCUUUAAAAUGGUAAAGUAAUCUGGCAUUACACGUACUUUAAUUAGAUGAAAUAGUACAAAGCUGUUUCAGUAGAUAGACAAUGAAUAGAAUAAAAACUAUGUCUGUAGCUAGAGGGCCGAAGUAGAUAAUCUAGAGAACAGUUAUAUCCCUGUGUGUGUAUGAGAGGGCACUUGUAUAUACAAUAGGCUAUUUAUUAAACCUCAGCAAAAUCAUACAUAUCAUUGUGUUAGUGAUGUAUCCAUGGUCCAUCAGACUGAUAGGGCUAGAUUCCAUUGUUAGGGGAGUGAGUUAUACCGCCACUACUCUGAGUGCAAUAUUUACUACUAAAUGUACAAUGUAUACAUUUCCAGUUUCAUCACAAAUCAUGUCUUUCAUUGGUUAAUCUAUCGGCAUACACUGUUUGUACUGUUCAUUUUGUUCAAAUUGUCAAGUGAUUUGUUGCUAACAUUAUUGGAUGCUUUAUACUUUGAUUAUUUUUUUUUAACUUGGUUUUCUAUUACUUUUGUCAUUUUAAAUUCAAACAAAAUUAUUUGAAGAGUAACUUUUUCAGUGUAAUGUGAAAUUAUAAAAAAAAAUAUUGAUUCCUUUGGCAACAGGAAUGUAUUUGUACAAAUAAAGAGAAAUGGCAUGAUGUUUAAGUAUUUUAAAACUUUACUUAAAAUUAUUAUAUCGCUGUUGGAGCCAACAGUUGAAGGUUAGCACUUCUUCCCCCUCCCCCAGCCUCUUCCUCUGGGCAUUUUAUUCAAACUACCCAGUAUAAAUCUUAUAUUACAAAUAUAGGUAAUCACAGAUUACUAAGCUCACCGAGACGAGGCAUCAACUUUAUGAGGCAUCGCCUUUAUAACACCACCUUUAUCAUGUUAUAUAAAAAUCAUAUUU